rnacentral:rRNA from 1 species
UAGGGAAUCUUCGGCAAUGGACGAAAGUCUGACCGAGCAACGCCGCGUGAGUGAAGAAGGUUUUCGGAUCGUAAAACUCUGUUGUUAGAGAAGAACAAGGAUGAGAGUAGAAUGUUCAUCCCUUGACGGUAUCUAACCAGAAAGCCACGGCUAACUACGUGCCAGCAGCCGCGGUAAUACGUAGGUGGCAAGAGUUGUCCGGAUUUCGUGGGCGUAAAGCGAGCGCAGGCGGUUUCUUAAGUCUGCUGUGAAAGCCCCCGGCUCAACCGGGGAGGGUCAUUGGAAACUGUGAAACUUGAGUGCAGAAGAGGAGAGUGGAAUUCCAUGUGUAGCGGUGAAAUGCGUAGAUAUAUGUAGGAACACCAGUGGCGAAGGCGGCUCUCUGGUCUGUAACUGACGCUGAGGCUCGAAAGCGUGGGGAGCAAACAGG